rnacentral:rRNA from 1 species
GACGAACGCUGGCGGCGUGCUUAACACAUGCAAGUCGAACGGAAAGGCCCUGCUUUUGUGGGGUGCUCGAGUGGCGAACGGGUGAGUAACACGUGAGUAACCUGCCCUUGACUUUGGGAUAACUUCAGGAAACUGGGGCUAAUACCGGAUAGGAGCUCCUGCUGCAUGGUGGGGGUUGGAAAGUUUCGGCGGUUGGGGAUGGACUCGCGGCUUAUCAGCUUGUUGGUGGGGUAGUGGCUUACCAAGGCUUUGACGGGUAGCCGGCCUGAGAGGGUGACCGGCCACAUUGGGACUGAGAUACGGCCCAGACUCCUACGGGAGGCAGCAGUGGGGAAUAUUGCACAAUGGGCGGAAGCCUGAUGCAGCAACGCCGCGUGCGGGAUGACGGCCUUCGGGUUGUAAACCAAUUUCGCCUGUGACGAAGCGUGAGUGACGGUAAUGGGUAAAGAAGCACCGGCUAACUACGUG